rnacentral:lncRNA from 1 species
UAGAAAAUAUUUAUGAGAUAGAAUAAAUAGAUGGAGAAGAAAUAAAAGUGUUUUUUUUGACUGCAUGUGCAUGUUGUUUGGUUUUAGGAUGGUAUUCCCUGUUCCAGUCAACCAGCUGCCGUACGAGUGCAUGUUGACAUUCCACCUCAAGGGCGCCAAGCGGGGCAAGAACCCCGAGCUCUUAGGCUUGGCUGUACUACCUCUUUACAGCGACAGAACUCUGGUGAUGGAGACCGUUCUGCUCAGUAUGUCCACGCUGGCUGAGCCCCCAGCUCCUCCCUCUCCCGCCCUGUUUGACAGCCACAGACAAGCCGUUGGCGUCAUACUGCAGGUCAGUAUCACUGGGCAGCUCUGCCCCCUGUUGACCUAAACACAAACUACACCACAUCGCCUGCUCAAAGAUUCAUCUUCCCAUAAUCCUCCAGCUCGAGUUUCAAGAUCAGUUUGUGUGGAAGUAUCAGAGGCCUAUCGCCCUCCCUGGUUCAGCGUUGUUUACUCAGCCUUGUGAGGCACUGCAAAAGAAAAUGUUGAGCGCCUCUAAGAAGCACUGCCUCUGCUUGUGAGUAGAAGAAAACGACACACAUUAUAGAGAUCUGUAAUCCCUCCCUGUCCCUUAACACACCCUUGAAAUGAGCUCUACCCCCCCCCCCCCCCCCUCAGUCUGACAGAAAAUGAGAAAGCCUUCCUCUGGAGUAAACGUUACUGUAGUGACAAAGGAAGCACUUUCCUCCACCUGCUGCUGGGUGGAGCCCCCCGGUGGCAGCCUGAAGACCUGACAGAAAUCUAUACUGUUGUGGAGAACUGGCUGAUUCAUCUACCCGAGGAGGCGCUCUUCCUGCUCAGUCCCAAGUGGGUAACAUGUGUUGCUUGUUUGGAAAAGUGUUUUGGUUCCUAGUUCCUAUGUCCUGUUUUUGAAAAGGAGUAAUAUGUCGGCGUAAAAAAAAUGCUCGAUUAAGAUAAAAGUCCUGCAUUUAAAAUAUGAUUUAUGUAGAUAAGUCUUUGAAUGAAAAUAUACUUAUGCUGAAAAAUGACCGUCUGAUCCGAUAAAGGGCCAUGCUUGUGAUGAAUGUAGUUUUGUAGGCGAGCAGACUGGUACCCCAAAAUCUGUGAUCACAACCAUGAUUCAGGUUUACAGUAGUCUGUUUGGUGACAUUGAACAUAUUUUUUCAGUUUCCAUGAUCAGACCGUGCGAAGGGCUGCGGUUCACUACUUUGAGCAGAUACCAGAUGGAGAGCUGGAGUUGUUUCUGCCACAGUUGGUCCAGGUAAGCACACUCAAGUGUUAAACACACCUAUGAAAUAAGGUGACUGUACACUCUGUAUUUUCCUCAUUGGUCUGAUGUUGGUUUCAUCAGUCAUCCUCUCCUACAGGCUCUGAAGAGCGAGUGGGAGUUGGAUGGACCUCUGGUGAUGCUGCUGCUGGAGAGAUCACUGAAGAGCAUGCAGAUUGCCCAGCAGCUCUACUGGUGAGCCAAAGAUUCAGACAUCAGACUGAGGG